ensembl:miRNA
AACCCUGUCUACGGCCAUACCACCCUGAACGCGCCCGAUCUCGUCUGAUCUCGGAAGCUAAGCAGGGUCGGGCCUGGUUAGUACUUGGAUGGG